rnacentral:rRNA from 1 species
AAUCAACGCUGGCGGCGUGCCUCAGACAUGCAAGUCGAACGCGAAAGGCCCCUUCGGGGGCCGAGUAGAGUGGCGUCCGGGUGAGUAACACGUGGGUAAUCUACCUUCGGUGGGGAAUAACGACCGGAAACGGUACGCUAAUACCGCAUAAUGCGGCGGCACCUAAUGGUGACAGUUGUUAAAGCGGGGAUCGCAAGACCUCGCGCCUGAAGAGGAGCCCGCGGCGGAUUAGCUAGUUGGCAGGGUAACGGCCUACCAAGGCGACGAUCCGUAGCCGGCCUGAGAGGGCGGUCGGCCACACUGGCACUGACACACGGGCCAGACUCCUACGGGAGGCAGCAGUCGGGAAUUUUGGGCAAUGGGCGAAAGCCUGACCCAGCAACGCCGCGUGAAGGAUGAAGCUUUUCGGAGUGUAAACUC